GCGGUUACACUUGUUCUUCAACUCAAAGAUAAAAUGCGAAUUAAAAUUAAUUUUUUUGUCUAAUAAAGUUUAAUAAUCAAGAUUUCAAAAUUUAUUAAUUAAGCUGGAUUAGUACCCAGUUAAAGAGUUGGAUAAAGUUAGGUCAAACCUAAAUUAAAUGGCAGUACUAUUAGAAUGCAGAGAAAUUUGAAGUUAAGAAAAUCCCCUUUAUUUUUGAUUUCUUAAAGGUUUAAGUAUGGCUGUCCAAAAAUAGGUUUCUGCUUAAAUUUGUAGUCAAGUAACAUUUAACUUAAGAGAUAACUUUGAAUUGCAAAAAAAUAGUUAUUAGAAGUAAGUUAAUACAAGGAUUUGCAAGUAAAUAAACAAUAUUUGAAAAAAUCUAGUACA
rnacentral:rRNA from 1 species